UGUGUGUGUGUGUGUGUGUGUGAGUGAAGUUAAUGCACUGUCACCAGCACACAGAUGCUUUAGCCUCUGGCUCUGCUGAUUUUCACACAGUAUAUAAAGACUCACCCUUCAUUUCCAAACCACUGCCCUUUGUCUGACUAACAUUGUACUAAUUAAAACCAUUUCACCAGAAAAAACUCCCUCGACUCCAGACCCUGAACCAAAUCCAGCCAGAAAAGUGUCGGCUACGGCAGGUUGAGCAAAAGUCAGAAAUUACUCUCCGUGGAUGAUAGUAAUGUGUGGAAGCUCCACAGAGAGAAUGAACCAUGUUCUGCUGGAGAAAAGGCUUUCAUAUAUUGAAAUAAUUAUAUUAAUAUUAUGGACUGUUUUUCUUUAAAGACAAGUUAAAUAAUUCAUACAUAAAUCAUUAGAACUACAGUAUUUGAGGCCCUAGAAACAACUCUUAAUCAGUGAUAACAGACAAUGUAAUGGGAGUUAAUUGCAGACGUGGGUGUGUUAAUGUGGCAGCUCUGUUUAAGAGAAGUCCCGUGGGGCCAAAAAAAGCUGAAAGUAUUCAAAAAGUUGUAGGAAGUUUCAAUGAAAUCCUCGUCAAAGUUCACAAAGCGUCUCCCCAAAUUGCCUUUGACCCACUUUCCCUCUGUUUUAACUACAGUUCUGUGAACAUCCACUUCUUUUACAUGCUGUAAUUGUAUAAUUCCCAGUCUUCUUAAUAAGCUCACUGUCUGAAUAGCUGCUCUUACGCGUGAGUGUCUGCGACCGCUUUGUCAGGUUUUAACAUAGAAAUAUUCCCUCACAUCAGCUUUAUUUGAAUUUCACUGACUAAACCAGGCUGCCGAGAACUUUUCAAUGGGGUAGAUUUAAUAAUGGUGGGGGGGUUAAAAAUAUAAAUAUACAUGAAUAAAAGUAGCCAAAAUAUCAAUAAAAGAAUAAAAGUAAAACCUGAUUAACUAAUAUCAAAAUAGCUUAAACUUAAUGAUAGAAUUUAAAUAGUAUUAUAAAAUGCAAUAAAAUGGUAUAUGUUAGCUUUAAGAAAAGAAAACAACUAAAAAUAAAUAUUUAAAAACGCUAUCAUUAAUAUAUUCAUACUUCUUUUUGCACAUUUUUAGAUGUUUUUGGUAUACAAAGCUACUAUGGCAUAUGCAAUUGCUUGUAAGUUUUAAUUUUUUUGACUAUUUCUGACUAUUGAUCGACUUUUUUGAUAUAUAUAUAUUUACUAUUUUUGAAUUAUGUUAUCGAUUCAAGAUAACCUUUAAUUUUGUGGCUAAAUUCUUGACUAUCUUCAAGCAAAGUCGGGUCAUUUUUUAAAUGUGUUAAAUACCUUUCGAACAAAUUCACGCUGACUUCUUUUUCCUAAUCUUUAGUAGUUGUUGUAUUUUCUUUUCUUAUCUUUGCAAUGAUCAAAUUUGCUCAGCUGACCUUAAACAGCUUCCUUUUCUCCAACUCCCUCCUCUGUGGGCUGAGACGUUCCCUCCGUACAGUGCGAUUAUCCCUGACCAUUUAUCAGACUUGUCAGAGGAGUUAUCAGACAGAAUAUCUGAAGAAAUCAGCUAAUCCUCACAUAUCUGAUGGACUGGAGGAGGGGGCUUUGUACCACGAGCUGAACAGACUGCUGUUCCUGCCAAGUUCACAUUGUAGUCAUUUGUGGGCUAAAAUCCGUUUGCUCAGGUAGACUUUAGGAACGUUGACCUGAGCCUGAUUUGUAAUUAUAUUCUGGGAAAUUAUGUGGCCACAUUAUUAGUGAUCCAAUUGCUUCAGCAAUUUGGCUAACUUUUAGCUUAUUCUGGCUUAGCUCCAGUUAACUGAGAAUGGCUUUAGGGAUAAAUUCUAGAUAAAAGCUGUUCUGAUUUUCAUUAAGUGGGCUAAAUUUGACCAAUUUUGGCUAACUAUAAAUAAAAUGGCUUCCAUUAGUCAUGUAUUAGCUCGACUUUUUUAAAAAAAGGUUAUGCUGUUAUCCUUUAGACAUAUUGUGUAUACUUUGACUACUUUGUAAGAUGCUAAAUAACUUGUAGUCAUUUCUGGUUUCAUAAUUAGCUUUACGCUGUUGUAUUUUCAAGCUGACACUAAACUGUUUCCUUUUCUGGAGCGCUCUCCCCUUUGACCAGGCAGAGCUUUGAUGUUUCCUCUGUACAGAGCCGCUGGUGAACGCUGUGUUAUUAUCCCUGACCAUCUAUCAGACUUGUCAAAGGAGUUAUCAGACGGAAUAUCUAAAGAAAUCAUCUGAUCCUCAUGUAUCUGAUCAACUGAAGAUUGGGCUUCGUACCACAUCUGAACAACCUUUGAUUUAAGUCCAGCUCCACGGUGGAACAUUCAGCUCUAUCUGAAAUAUGUGACAGGGGUUUGUCUCGCGUGUGUUUGCGGUGCCAUUAUUGAGGAGCCGUCUGUGGUAAUAGCAGAAGAAGGUCGGACAAUAAUCCCGUGUUUUACUACAGCGCAGGCAGAUUGAUUCAGCCCUCACUGAUUCAAUGCAUUUUAAACAGCUUGUGCCUCCGCCACUCGGACAUUUGCAUGAGGGAUUGUUUAAAGGCAGAACGUGCUGCUGCUGUUUCUAGUUACUGUCAGUGAGUUUAGGACCUUUGAUGAAUGAUCAUAGUUUUUCCAGCACCUGCCUGUCUUUCCGAGCCCUGGCGCUCAUACAUUAAUGAGAUGCCAUGACUGCAGAUACAGCAUGUGUACACAAACAUACAGAGGGUGUCUCUCUUACAUGCCGUCCUGGCGGGUGACGGUGUGCCCGUACUCCGGGUAGUGCAGGAAAGACACGUUGACUCCAAUCAGCGGUGUCCCGUCUCCCGUGAGGACCUGACCCCGGAUGACUGAUGCCAGGCUGUGUUGGGGGCAAGCAAACACAGAAAAGGGCUGAGUAAACAAACAGAGGCAGCAUCAGAGAGGCAGGCCGAGGCAGAGACGCCGCUAACAGCUGCGGUCCCUGUGCCAGCGGCGGCAGCAGGGAGCUGUGAUUUAUCGAGCGUUAAAGACACACGCACGUCAGGAGAGGCUGUUAUUUAUGAAAAUGCUUCCUCGUCCGCUAACUCCCUGCAUCUGUUUACUGCUGUUAACAUCCCACAAUUCAGAGCAAUGAGAUUUUUAAAGACAUCAAGGGCCGCGGAGGUUUUUACAUAAUCUUGCAAAUGUAUUACAGCAUUUUUUAUUCCACCAGUGCAGAGACAGAAUUACAUUUUCUCCCGCUUCUUUGUCCUGUAAGCCAUUUGUAAAAAAAUAAAUAAAAAAGGCAGAAAAGAGAAUGCUGCUUGCCAGAACAAAUAGCUCUGGGUGUUUUUUAAAUCUGUGAGACCAACAUUAAAACACUGGCAGUGUAAAACACACAUGACAUUAUUUAGCCCAGUGUUUCUGCUGUAGAAACCUGGGUGUGAGGCUCUCUCUGAUAAGUGGUGAGAUGUAUUUAGUUGGUGGUGCUACAUUGAAUAAACAACAUUUCUCAUUAUUUACAAACA